CGAAAGCCUGACGGAGCAACGCCGCGUGAGGGAUGAAGGCCUCUGGGCCGUAAACCUCUUUUCUCAAGGAAGAAGAUCUGACGGUACUUGAGGAAUAAGCCACGGCUAAUUCCGUGCCAGCAGCCGCGGUAAUACGGGAGUGGCAAGCGUUAUCCGGAAUCAUUGGGCGUAAAGCGUCCGCAGGCGGCCUUGAAAGUCUGUCGUUAAAGCGUGGAGCUUAACUCCAUUUCAGCGAUGGAAACUACAAGGCUUGAGUGUGGUAGGGGCAGAGGGAAUUCCCGGUGUAGCGGUGAAAUGCGUAGAUAUCGGGAAGAACACCAGUGGCGAAGGCGCUCUGCUGGGCCAUAACUGACGCUCAUGGACGAAAGCCAGGGGAGCG
rnacentral:rRNA from 1 species